GGCUCCAUGGUCUAGUGGUACGAUACUCGCUUCGGGAGAACAUCCCAUUCUUUCAAUAGAAUUUGUGAGUGGUCCCGGGUUCGAGUCCCGGUGGAGCCC